GCCUGGGUGGCGGAAUUGGUAGACGCAAGGGACUUAAAAUCCCUCGGAGUUCGCUCCGUGCGGGUUCGAUUCCCGCCCUAGGCA
rnacentral:tRNA from 1 species